rnacentral:lncRNA from 10 species
GAGGGAUGUCCCCAAAGUUUCUAGGUCUCCGCAAUCUGCCUGUCCCUGCCUCUGUUGGACUUUAGCACUAUCUUCCAGGAGGACUCUGAGAGAAGAAAAGCAAUAGGCCAAGGCAAGUUAAAACUGUGCCGCCUGCCUCUAGCUGGACUGACUGCAAAGAUGCAUUUAUUCCAGCUUGUGUCAGUAUUGCCAGAAGAUUCUCAGGCCCCGCCAGAGGGGAGGGAUGAGCCACAAAUCCUUCCAGGCACUGAUUUAUGUAGCAUUCAUGCGGAAUUUAUUAUACAAAGAAUUUUAUUCAAUUAAACUUGAAAUGCAUCUGGAUUCUUAAAGGUUCAGUAGUGAUCACUGGGACAGGGCGAUCAUAAAACUGAAUGGGCUGUCGGAAGGUGUCGAGGCAGCAGCAAGGGUGACAUUGCCACUGACGGGGGCUUCCGAACUGGGGACGUUUGUCAUUGGGAUGUGUUACAAGUUCGGGCUGUGGAAAUUACUCGAUGAAAAACGCACAUUAACGAUAGCCAUGAAAUAUUAGUUAAGGGAAACUAGGUUGAGAAAUGAGACAGCAGGAUCUAUCAGAGCCUGGCAUUGUUCGCCACAGCCCAGGUAGUGAUUAAAACGACUGUCAAGCGGCAGUGGGUGGGAGCUGAGGAGCACGGGGCUGUGAGUGACGAGGCCGCGUCCGGGGCUCACAUCUUGGCACUGACUCCCCAGGACAACUUGGUUCCCCACCCAAUGCCUCCUUCCAGGGCUGCUAUGGGGUUCAAAUGAGAUAAUGUCUGUGGAACACUUGGCUCAGGGCACUGCACAUAGCAAGCCCUUCCACAGUGCGGGCUGGUGUCACUGUGACUGUGGGCUUCUCUCUGACACAAGAGCCAACUGCCAGCUUGUCUCUGGAAAUGACACUAAACACCCCAUUCCAGGGAGCCUGACCUGGAGGCGGAGGAGGCAUUUUCAUGGGUGCAAAAUGUAAGGAAGUGCCCACAAACUCAGGGAUCGAGUAGUAUUUGUGUGCAAUAUUUUCCAAAAUCAAAUUAUGAAAAAAAUCUACGAUAAGCAAGGGAUCACGACUUUAAAUAAAAACAGGCUGCUGUUUGUUUCAAAACCCCGUGUUCCCGUGCAAUGGGACUGAUUGUUUCUGAGAGUUGCCAGUGGUGUGCAAACACUGGGGCAGCGGGGGCUUCGCAGUCACAUUUCCUGACUGUAGGGCUUUCAUUAACUUUUCCCACCUGGUUCAAAAUAUGGGAGGACAUUUGCUCAGUGUACAGAGGGGUACACAUCUUUUCUUUUGCCUCGGGCUCUUGAUAGAGCUUUUGAAAGGCACUGCAGAAGAGCAAAUGUUUUAAACACCCCAUCCUUCCAGCCCCCAAAGCAAGCUUUCUCCAUUUUUCCCAGGUUGGUAGCACAGGAGAGAAACACCUGCUGAGUGGUGGCAUCUGCCCUGCACCCAGGUGGUUUCUCAGAGAAGUGUUUGCUGGUGAACCGGGAGACAGAUACAGAGGCGGGGGUCUGAGAACGCGACUGUUAACAUCCAGGCUGUGACACCCGGUCCUGGAAGGACAGGACUUGGCAACAGGUGAACGGCCUUGUUUCAAAGAUUGUCACUUUAGGAUGUUGUAUUUACUCAAAAAGCUUUCCUUAUCCUUUGGAGGCUGUGCUUUCCCAUGGCUAGGCAUGCAGGGCUGCUGUGUUAUUUUAUAUAUAUAUAUAUAUUCCAGGAAGAUUUUGAGAUUUUGAGGUGUAGACAGAAUUGAGUGAUUCGCUGCAAGCUCUUUGAACAUACUCCCUGACCGAGCCUUAGUGAUUGCGUUUUCAGGGUUUUUUUUUUUUUUUUUUUUUUUUUGUGACGGAGUCUCACUCUAUCAGCCAGGCUGGAGUGUCGUGUCACGAUCUUGGCUCACUGCAGCCUCUGCCUCGUAGGUUCAAGUGAUUCUCCUGCCUCAGCCUCCUGAAUAGCUGGGAUUACAGGCACCCGCCACCAUGCCCAGCUAAUUUUUUUUUUUUUUUUUUUUUUUUAGCAGAAAUGGGGUUUUACCAUGUUGACCAGGCUGGUCUCAAACUCCUGACCUCAGGUGAUCUGCCUGCCUCGG